rnacentral:tRNA from 1 species
GCCUUCGUGGUUUAGUGUCAGCACGCUCGACGCGUAACCGAGAGGUCCGUGGUUCGAUUCCCGGCGAGGGCA